rnacentral:rRNA from 1 species
GGGGACGUAACAAAGCGACCCAGGAAUGCUUGGGCGUGCCUCCACCCACGCCGGCGUCGGCGGGCGUAUUUCGCCUCACAGUAGGUCGCCGCGACCCGUUGCUUUUGGGGACGUCGAAGGCCCGGACGGAUUGGUACCCUACCGGCGGGGGAUGCGGCUUCGGCUUCUCCUCUCGUCCGGUGGGCGAAACCGCCGGUGUCCUGGCUGCCCUGCGACGGUCGUAGAGACGAGCCCUUCCCAUUCGUGGGGGGUGGCUCUCGCGGCGUGCAAAAGGUCGGUGAUCCACCCGACCCGUCUUGAAACACGGACCAAGGAGUCUAACAUGUGUGCGAGUCAGUGGGCGCACUAAACCCAGAGGCGUAAUGAAAGUGACACGGGUUCGGCUGUCGCCUCGUGUGGCAGUCGGACUCAGGGCCGAUCCCUCACCGGUUGGCCUCGCCUCUCUCUUCCGCGUCUCGGUAAGCCGGGUGAGCUAUUUUCCCCGGCCAAUGCUGCGGGGCGCGGGGGGAGGCGGGGUGCGAUGGUGUCCGUCAAAAAGAGCCUGCUGUUGCAGGGGGGCGCAGGCCCGGGACUUGCCAGGACGCCGCGAGACUGUCACUUUGCUGUGAGGCUCUAGGGCCGAUCAGCGGGUCAUGCGUGCAGUCGGCAAGUACCAUGAGCAGACAUGUUGGGACCCGAAAGAUGGUGAACUAUGCCUGGCCAGGAUGAAGCCAGAGGAAACUCUGGUGGAGGUCCGUAGCGAUUCUGACGUGCAAAUCGAUCGUCGGAGCUGGGUAUAGGGGCGA